CUGAGUCUUGAUCCACCAGAAGGCUUUCUGUACAUCAGCCAGUUUGCAUGAUGAAGAUUUGGGUCUCGGAAUUCUCCUGUAUGCUUAUGAUUCUUACCAUCAACUUGUUUCCUUGGUAACCCACUCCUGCUAUCUUGAUGAUGGCUUCCUGGGGUCAGGAGAGGUUCCUGAGAGCUGGACUUUUGGCUGGAGCCUUGACCCCACUUUUCCUGAUGAAUGACCUUUAGAGGUGGCUCCAGGUCUGAGGACUAGAGAGCAGAGUGGACACGAGGCUCACCAUGUAGAAAUGUCAUCUUGUAAAGACCUUCUACGACUUCCAGGACCUUGUAUGGGUACCCGUACCAUGGGCAUGCAGCCUGGGGAUGUGUGCUGCAUGUCAGAUAUUUUUCUGAACCACAACCAUGGUGUUUUCGGCUCCAGCACGCAUCACAGGAAGACUUCUGGCCAGGGCAACGUGACACAAACACAUUCAGAGCAGUCUGUUGCUGGCAAAGGAUCCAAGACUUCAAAGAAAACCUAUAAACUUAAUAAAGUUUCUCCUGAAACCUACAACAAAGAAAACAAUGACAAAGGAAUUGCCCACAAUUCUGUGACUCCAAGUGAAUACCACGGAAGAGAUGGCCGCACUGGGCUCUCCUACCAGUUUUUAGAAUUGUGAGACAAUCCAGCAGUAGAAAGAAAACUAAGAAAAUCAACUCUCCGGGCUGCUAUCUGCCUGUUUCAAGCCUGAGAUUUUGUAGAAAUCUAUUUUAUAGAAUCAGCAGAAGCAAGCCAAUAAUGUCUUUAUGCAAUCUACUUGAAAGCAAAAAUAACAAAGAUGCCAGUCAAUACUUUGCAAAUGAUGUUUAUACUAGCCUGAGACUCAUUGUUUGCCAGUGUUUAUUAAUACAACUAAAUAAGAAAUCCUCUCCUCUUAAAGGGAGCACAGAGCUGAUUUCAUGUUGAAGAAAUGCCCACAGUAGUCACAGUACAACUUUCAGAGGACUAAGUCAUCUUUUCUCACAUGCUGAGUCCUGACAUCUAAUGAUCAGCUAACACCAUUUCUGAUGUUUUAGCAUAGAAAGCUUUAUUAUCUUAACACUGGAUGCUAAUAAGACAUUGUUAAUUUCUAAAACAAACAAACAAACAUGGACCUAAAACUUGACUUCCUUAAGAAAUAAAAACACUUUCCUUGAACGCCACAGACUGUACAGAGUGCAAAGUGCUAGCAAAUGAUAAGCAUUCCCUUAUAAAUAUCAAGAUCAAUAUUGAAGUAGCUCAGGAUUGUACUUGACAGGAUUUGAGCUUUAUUGGUAGGAAUCUUAAGGUCUCCCACAGUGGUUUUUGGUGUUGAUAAAGUUGGCAUUUAUUUACGAUUUGAGUUCUUGCCUGGGGGCUGCAGUCAGAAGCAGCAGGAUUUUGUUUAAAGCCAAAGACUUCCUUCAUCCUCAGAAAGCAAGCAAGGAGCUGUGUUUCCUCUCCUCAUUUGUCCUGCAACUGUGAAUUUGUCUCUGGAGCUCUGUUCUGUUGACUUUAGAGAAGCUAUGCAUACACUUGGU
rnacentral:lncRNA from 1 species